GAUGAACGCUGACAGAAUGCUUAACACAUGCAAGUCAACUUGAACUUCAGUUUGGGUGGCGGACGGGUGAGUAACGCGUAAAGAACUUACCUCACAGAUUGGGACAACAUUUGGAAACGAAUGCUAAUACCUAAUAUUAUGAUUUUAGGGCAUCCUAGGAUUAUGAAAGCUAUAUACGCUGUGAGAGAGCUUUGCGUCCCAUUAGCUAGUUGGAGAGGUAACGGCUCACCAAGGCGAUGAUGGGUAGCCGGCCUGAGAGGGUGAUCGGCCACAAGGGGACUGAGACACGGCCCUUACUCCUACGGGAGGCAGCAGUGGGGAAUAUUGGACAAUGGACCAAGAGUCUGAUCCAGCAAUUCUGUGUGCACGAUGAAGUUUUUCGGAAUGUAAAGUGCUUUCAGUUGGGAAGAAAAAAAUGACGGUACCAACAGAAGAAGUGACGGCUAAAUACGUGCCAGCAGCCGCGGUAAUACGUAUGUCACAAGCGUUAUCCGGAUUUAUUGGGCGUAAAGCGCGUCUAGGUGGUUAUAUAAGUCUGAUGUGAAAAUGCACGGCUCAACUCUGUAUUGCGUUGGAAACUGUGUAACUAGAGUACUGGAGAGGUAAGCGGAACUACAAGUGUAGAGGUGAAAUUCGUAGAUAUUUGUAGGAAUGCCGAUGGGGAAGCCAGCUUACUGGACAGAUACUGACGCUGAAGCGCGAAAGCGUGGGUAGCAAACAGGAUUAUAUACCCUGGUAGUCCAAGGGCGAAUUCCACACUGGAUAUCACGCUUAUCGAUACCGUCGACCUCGAGGGGGGGCCCAGGUACCCAGUUUUCUUCCCUGUAUGAAGGGGUUAAUUAGCUUUGUUCCCUUUAUGAGGGGUUAAUUAGGG
rnacentral:rRNA from 1 species